rnacentral:lncRNA from 1 species
AUAGUACCUCAUUCAACGGGGUACUUCCACUUAUCAACGAAGUGAUGCACAUCUACAACCAAAGUGCCUGACCUUCUCACCAAACGUGCCCUACACCCCCCACUGGGGUGCGGCGCAGUACGUCACUUGGCGAGUUGUCAUGGACUCAAUAGUUACUCAUUGUGCGCAAAAUUGGAAGAGGAUAGAGAUCACCGCCACUAAUCAAAUGAGAUGCGAAAGAGGUCAUGGGUGCCAUUAUACGCGUCGCUUACAGCUCUUUCAAAUCGACUUUGUAUUUUCCUUAAGUUUCUAACUGGGACCAUCCUGCAUGGUUUGCACCCCAACUCGUGUCUAAACCAGGAAUUCUGUUACACAUCUCAAAGACUCUCCCUGCGUUCAUGUACCAAUACGGAUCCUUAGUAACCUGCGCUUGCUUUGCGUACCUCUGUACAACUGUUGCUUUCCUCGGUCCAUUAAUUCUUGCUAAUUACCACUGGAACCCUGUGAUAACUCCAACAUCAUAUGUUUAAAAAACUAAUAAUCACCAUCUAUUACUCACAACUGGAGAAGAAUUUGCCAAAACCUCUCUCAUGGAAAGGCGAGAAGACGGUAACGUGCUUGUGCAAAAGAGCCCUAGUCUGAAAUACAGUUAGUCUUCUUCCAAGUUCAAUGGUUCUGAUGUCCUUAUCUUAAGGCAUCCACAUGGACAUUCCUUCUCCGUGUUUAGACCACCCCCCUCUGCAAGGCUGUGUGCUCAUCCCCGUCAAUUUGAGGCUCUCUUCCGGUGCACAGUCCAAGAGGACAAACCCGAAAAACUAUAAAGUCGAUCUUCUCAUUCAUUGUUGUGGAUAAGCAUACUCUGUAACCGCCGCCAUAAUUAAGUUUACGAAUACAAAUAAAUAAAACAAAAAGAAAAAGAAUGUGAUGCCAACAUUGACAUGAAAAAGAGACUUAAAAACAGAACACAAGUUCCUCUUACCAGGAGCCAUGUACCCGAAUGAACCAGCCACUGAAGACAUUGUAUUUGAGCAUACUCCUAUUAGCCAAAUCGUGGAAAGGCCAAAAUCAGCGAUCCUGGCUUGAACUCAGAGGUCGCAUGACAAGAUAUGCUAGACUGUUACAUCGCGUGUGAACGAUCACAUUGGGAGAGCAAAUCAUGGUGCAUGUAGCAAGUCUUGUGCAGCUCCAACAGCGAUUUGAAGCCUCGUGGGCAAUCCAAACACGAGAUGACAGACCGAGCCACUCGAGGCUGAUAACAAUUCUAUCUCUCUCCAAUUCUUCCAUGUACCACUUGUCAAGACUCUGAAUUCUCCAUGUGUACUCAUAGAAAGUAAUUUGAGUCCUCACUUGAAAUGCACACAUCAUUUAAACUAUGUUGGAGUGCUUGAUUGUGCCAAAAAUCUCAGUUUCGCCAAAAACUCCUUCUAUGGCAGAUGGUUGAAUUUUAGUGUUCCAAAUCCAUGUCACAGCAAACAAAAUCUACCGAGUGUUCACGGCAAAUCCGAUAGAGAAAAUCUUCCCUGACCCUCCACUUCCAAUCAAAACUUUUCAUUCAGCCCAGACAAAAUCACUGCCUCCGUGAAACAUAAUUUUCUGAAAUGCGAGUUAGUUUCCAAUCGACAGGAUCUGUUUUGACCUUACUUCUGCAUUGUCUACCAGGAGUCAUUAAAACAAUAACAAUGGGGAGUACAACCACAAAAACCAGAAUGAUUUCAGAGAAUGCUAGCUGACAAGUGGUAGAAUCACGGGUUUAGCGAAAACAAUUUCGGAGAGGUGAAAUGGGUUUGUGGCCGCAAAGAUGGUAUUGUUCGGAGGAAACUGUGUCAUAGGGCUAAGUUACGAACUUAUCUGGGAUUUUACCGGUGUGAGUUGUUGGACGGAACAAGUCCAAAAGUGGUACUUACUCUCAAGAUUGGAGGGAUUUUGCCGAAAAUGAUUGGAAAACCCAAACUCAACAGCUUCCAAGUGUUGACUCUCCCAAAAUCGUCUGAGGAUUGACCUGUGAGAAAUGUCAAUUGACAAAUCAAAUAUGGUAAGCCAUGACUCAAUAGGAGUCGGAAUUUCACCAGACAUCGAUGUCUGACAAAUACACAAUGCUCAAUUCCGUCCAUUGUAAACAAUCCUUUUGGGAAUUGGACACUGUAAGGUGGUUGCGAGAUAGGGUUCCAAAGUUCAAGACCGAAUAUAUUCGACAAGGUAUCUGGGAUCUCGCCAAUUCAAGGUUACAAGAAGUCAUCCAAAGGAAUUUCAAAUUCUUCAAUUUCCGAACUCACUUGGGACUUUUGGCUGGCAAAAACAGAUCAUUAUAAGCCAUUUUCAGGAUAAAUUAAAGUUGUUAAGUUUCCCGAUUUCCACCGGAAAAGUACCAUAUAAAAAUCGUUUUCGUACAAGUAGAGUUCUUGGGAGCUCUGGCAAGUCUCCUAUCGCCGGCGGGAUGUUCUCCGGAGAAAAUUAAUGUGGCACCUACGUCGAUGAAAAAACUGGAGCGAAGAUGAAAAACGGUUGAUGUCGGGAGGGACUG